AUGGAAAGAUGGAAGAACAUCCUGCUUUUCAAAGAAGAAGAAGAAGAAGAAGAAGAAGCUCCAGAAGAAAUCAAUGACGAAGACAUCUUCCAGCGAUCUCUAGCUGAAAAAUUAUGGAUGAAUAAUAGCUUCAAUGUUCGGGCUUUUAAGAGCACUAUGAUUGGGGCUUGGAAACUUAAAAAUCUAAUUGAAAUAAAGAGUGGAGCAAGAAUUUGUUCUUGUUUAAGUUUUCAACCAAACAGGAUUUGGAGUUUGUGA